ensembl:snRNA U6 U6 spliceosomal RNA
GCUCUCUUUUGCAACAACACGGACUAAAAUAGGAACAAUACAGAGAAGAUUAGCAUGGCUUGGGCACAAAGAUGACACACAAAUUUAUGAAGCAUUCCAUAUUUUU